rnacentral:lncRNA from 1 species
CGAACAGUACCUAGGCGCCUAGGCGUCUUCAAUUUUUUUUCCAUCGGGAUUUUGUCCUAAGCGCAGCGUUAAAAAACGUGAGACGAUGAAGUGCUGGUCAUGUAUGUAGCGGUAUAGGCCGGAACCGAGCAGAGACAAGUCGCGAGUCUUGCCAUAGAGUGUGCUUUGACACCAGCAACACGUCAUGUCCACCCUGUGGCAGAACCUGCGACGCCGGUUUGACCUCAGCAAACACCCCAAGUGGGGAUGGAGGAUGUCCGUGCUGUAUGGCAUGGGGGUCUGGACCAUGCUGGGGGUGCUCUGCCUCAAGUGGAUGAAGGGGGGAGACGCCAUCCAAGCAGCCCACUUUGGAGUGACUACAGAGAAUUUCAAAAAUUUGUCCCAGGAAGAGAGAGAUCAGCUGAUAAAGAACAAAAAGAUUGCCAUUCUUGAAAGACAACAGGAGCUUGCCGAACAUGUCGCUGAAAAUGUCUACAAGCCUGUGGAUUUUAUGGGCUGAUGAGACGCCUGCUGCCGUAUCACGUGACAAAUACUCCAGCCGUUUUCUUUCUCACAGAGUUGCAAUCUGCAGUCAUGGCAGAACACUUGUAGCGGACAUACUUUACGUGUACAAGAACUACAUCGAUUAUCAACCCUCUGUUAUUCUGUGGUGUUGCGUGGCUCCCAAUGGAGGACUCCCCAUCAGCUGAAGGCUUCAGAGGUUCACUGAAGAUGGUGUUGUCUUCUUGGUGCAAUUUGACCCUUGAAAUAAUCUCACAGGGAGCCACUCUACAAAAUGGUCAGAGGCUUAGAGCCCUUCUCUGUUCCUGCCCAGUCUUUUUAAAAGACAGGAAUUCGGAAUUUCGCUCUAACAUGCACUUAUCCCACUACUACAUGUAUGAGCAUCGUCCACUCAACAUCUCCACAUAGCAGUGAAACACGAUGAUAGUGAAGUCCUUCCCAACUGCUACGUCUGGCCCAAACUGUAGUAGGCACCGAUGGUGCAGAUGGGUUGUAUAACACCACCCUUAGCCGAUGACGUCCUUGUGAUAUCAAUGUAAAAAAAAAUUUGAUGUAAAAAUUAUAAUUCUAGCAAUACUGAGUUGUACAUACUAGUGGAGAUAAAAUGCUGGAGCCAAUUUCAUAGAGCUGCUUAAGCACAAAAUUUGCUUAAGCGUGAAAAAAACUUGCUUGAUAAAUCAAGUAACCAGCCAAAACUCCAUGUGAUUUAUAUUGUUCCGGGAUUGUAUUCAGCUGUUUUGGGGUCAGCAUGACAAUCAGAUAGAGUUUGAGCUGGUAACUUUUGUUUAUUAAGCAAAUUUUUUUUCCGCUUAAGCAAGUUUUGUGCUUAAGCAGCUCUAUGAAAUUGGCCCCUAGUUCCUGAUGAACUCUGUAGGAGUGUGCCAAGGGAACAACUCUCAACUGCUCCCGUCACUAAAAAAAAUCUUUUAAAUCCAGCAUUUCUGGAGCGAUAUGUGGAAGAUAGUGACUUUGCUUCCAACAGCAGAUUGCCUAUCCAGAUUUUUUUUCGCCCCAAGGUAUCCAGAUUUUUUUUCACCCCAAGGUAUCCAGAUUUUCUUUCGCCCCAAGGUAUCCAGAUUUUUUUUCGCCCCAAGGUAUCCAGAUUUUUUUUCACCCCAAGGUAUCCAGAUUUUUUUUCGCCCCAAGGUAUCCAGAUUUUUUUUCGCCCCAAGGUGUUUGUUAUAAUUGGAAAUUCUGUCCAGCAUACUGCCACACUCGCACAAAAUGUCUUCAGUCAUGUAUGGUCCUUUCAUUUAGAGUUAACUUUUUGUGUAGGGCUCCCAUAGGAUUUAUUCACAUUUUCCAAUUGUGGAUCCAAUUGUCCUCUUUUGUUGAGUGUCCACAGUUUAAAUAUGGUUUGGAUACACACAUCAGGCACUACUGGGUGGGUUUACGUGUGUCUCUCCAAUUGCCCUUGUAAUUUUGUUCAGAUUUUCAAAACGCUUGUGACUGCAAUAUGUAAGAUAUCGUUCAAAACAAGACAUUAUUAGGUUUGCUAAUAGAGGGAUAAGUUAAUUUGUUAUUUCAUGGAAAAAAAACUCAUUUGAGGACAAAUAUGCUUGUGUUGCUUGGACAGAGGAUGCAACCAGUGAGUGUAGACAUUAACAAAUUUCUUAUUGUAGACGUUACCUUAACGGGAGGGUGAGCCUGCAGUUGACCUUGUGACAGUGGACAAACGACACUGGAAACAGGUGUUGCUGUUCAGAAGGUAGACGCAAGACUGACUGGUGGCUGGGCAGUACAGAACACCCAGCCAUGGGCAUGCUUGGGUGAUUUGUUUCAAAAGCUCUUGAAACAAAGUUGCGUAAUGGUGCAACAAACAACAUUACUUUGUGUCUGUUGUCCGCGGCGGACGUACGGAAUUACAGCUUAAUCUGUUCUCAUAAUCUCAUGUAUAACUCUUAUGAAAUGUUUUGCAGCUUCAAACUAAAUCUAGGGGAGUGUGGGUGUGAGAACACUGGCUGAAAUGUAUUUAGUUAUGGGGUCAUUAAGUGUGGUUCGCUGAAACAUCACUUCACUUUUUAUUGACAACAUUUUUGUUGACCCAGUUUGAUUUGCUGUUAGAUACUGCUGAUGACAUGUUUCCGUGGUAUACAUGUCUAUAUGUAUAUUUUGUCUUGAUUCAUUGGUGAGUCAAAGUUUUAUUUUCCAUUGAAAAGUUAUGAAAUACUAGGAUCGACGUGACUGGCAUAAUAAAAGAAUUUGAUUUCUUCAAAGUA